GACGAACGCUGGCGGCGUGCUUAACACAUGCAAGUCGAACGGAAAGGCCCUGCUUUUGUGGGGUGCUCGAGUGGCGAACGGGUGAGUAACACGUGAGUAACCUGCCCUUGACUUUGGGAUAACUUCAGGAAACUGGGGCUAAUACCGGAUAGGAGCUCCUGCUGCAUGGUGGGGGUUGGAAAGUUUCGGCGGUUGGGGAUGGACUCGCGGCUUAUCAGCUUGUUGGUGGGGUAGUGGCUUACCAAGGCUUUGACGGGUAGCCGGCCUGAGAGGGUGACCGGCCACAUUGGGACUGAGAUACGGCCCAGACUCCUACGGGAGGCAGCAGUGGGGAAUAUUGCACAAUGGGCGAAAGCCUGAUGCAGCAACGCCGCGUGCGGGAUGACGGCCUUCGGGUGGUAAACCGCUUUCGCCUGUGACGAAGCGUGAGUGACGGUAAUGGGUAAAGAAGCACCGGCUAACUACGUG
rnacentral:rRNA from 1 species